ACUAAAGUAGUUUUAUAAAAACAUCAGCCUGUGGCACUGAAAAAGCCGGUUAAACUCCGGCCUUGAGUC
rnacentral:tRNA from 1 species